GACGAACGCUGGCGGCGUGCUUAACACAUGCAAGUCGAACGGAAAGGCCCUGCUUUUGUGGGUUGCUCGAGUGGCGAACGGGUGAGUAACACGUGAGUAACCUGCCCUUGACUUUGGGAUAACUUCAGGAAACUGGGGCUAAUACCGGAUAGGAGCUCCUGCUGCAUGGUGGGGGUUGGAAAGUUUCGGCGGUUGGGGAUGGACUCGCGGCUUAUCCGCUUGUUGGUGUGGUAGUGGCUUACCAAGGCUUUGACGGGUAGCCGGCAUGAGAGGGUGACCGGCCACAUUGGGACUGAGAUACGGCCCAGACUCGUACGGGAGGCAGCAGGGGGGAAUAUUGCACAAUGGGCGGAAGCCUGAUGCAGCAACGCCGCGUGCGGGAUGACGGCCUUCGGGGUGUAAACCGCUUUCGCCUGUGACGAAGCGUGAGUGACGGUAAUGGGUAAAGAAGCACCGGCUAACUACGUG
rnacentral:rRNA from 1 species